rnacentral:ncRNA from 1 species
UGAAGCUUAGAAGUUCUUGAUAUUCUGUCAGAAUAUAAGCCAUGUUUGAACACGAUGUUCAAACAAACCGCCAGUGAGACAUGGAUGUCGAAUUGGCGGUGGUGGCGAAUGAUAUAAAAAUGAAAAUCAGAAUAUCUAGAACUUCUUGGCUUC